UGAGGGGGAGGCCGCAGUGCGGACAGAGGGGCCUUGUUCCUGAGGCUGCUCAGGGAAUUCAGCUCUGACAAAGGGCUGCUUGUAUGUGCGACGUGCCCACAGCCUGGUGGAGCAACUUCCAUCCCAGCGUCCCCCCAGCCAACAGGCGCAGGUGGGCCCUGUGGCCUCUGGCCCUGCCUCCCGUCUCCUAGGGUCCACACCGUGACCUGGCACUGGGCGGGUGAUAGGGUCAGUUGGCUGUGUGCAGCCUCCUGCCAGUCUAGGCCCAAGCCUAAUUCAGCCUCUGGGAACCUGGUUUUUCUGUCAGGAUGUUCCUUUAUGGGACUUUUCCUGCCUGGUUGGUAUGUGCUGGAGCAAUAGCCUACACCCGGGCUCUGACUCUGCCAGGGGCUCCUUGGCCUCUGGGGCUGUACACCCCGCUACUCCUCUUGGCCAGCCAUUGCUAGCAUGCCAUCUUCAGGAAUACUAGCUGGACGGGGUGGUGUCCAGCAGGUUGUGCCUGACUCUUGUGGACAUGGCCCUGAAGAGUCACAGGGCACUUGGAGUCCAGCCUCCUGGAGUCGCUUCCGGCCCUGCAGCUAUCUGCCGUUGUGCCCUGGGCCUGCACGUAGCAGCCAUAUGCAGCGAGGCCACUUCUGCUCCCUGCAUCUGGAGGAGGUGCUAACCCAGGACUCCCACUGGCCCUCCACAGCUUGAGUUUUGAAGCCUAAAGGCAGAUGUGGCGCCAGGCACCGCCUCUGCCUCCUUUGCUCUGCAGGUCCAAAGAGUCCAGUUAGGACCGCGGGCGUGUGUGUAUUGUGUGUGUGCGUGCGAGUAUGUGCGCGCUCGUGUGUGUGUGUGUGUGCAUUGUGUGGUGUGCCUGUGCACAUGACCACGGUGACCGUGGUAGCUCAGACCCUGGUUCUUCUAAGGAAGGGGCCUGCAGGGGGCCUGCCUGAGGGCCCAGGCGUACUCAGUGUGGUGGGUGGUCACUGGGGAGGCCUCUGGUGUUGGGUGCCAGCUCUUCCACACGGUGGCUAGAAACAGCCCUGCCGUGUGACUUGCCUGCUCUUCAUUCUGAGCUCCCACACAGGGUUAAAAUCAAGUGCUGGUGGGCCACGACUUCCUCAGGGGCCUCUGGAGGACCUGGGGGAGAGUCCCUUCCAGGUUCACAGGAGUUGUUGUUGACCUAGGCUGCUCUGGGAUCCCCGCCCAUGGCCCCCCAUCUCGGAGCAGGCCCUGAAGGCCAUCAGACACUCCUGUCCUCUCUGACUUUGAGAAGCUGGUAUGAACUUGCCCCCUGCCCUCGCUCCUCCAGAUAACCUUCCUGUCUUACCCAGGGACAACCAGGACCUGUAGGCACGCUUGGUCUGGCAUGUUGUGUGACUGGGAGUCCGUCUGAGGACGUGCAGUCUGAACCCCAGGUUCCCAUGAAGAGGCAGGUAUGUUCUUACAGGAAGCAGCAAGAGAGCAGCAGGGCAGCUUCCCGACACCUGCCUGUGUGGGAAAGCGUGAUCACUUUGACUCCAUCAAACGAAACUCCCAGACGCAGUGGCGUACACGCAAUCCCAUCAACUCCGGAGGCUGAGGCAGGAGGAUUGCAAGUUUGAGGAUAGCCUAGGCAACUUAGAGACCCUACCUCAAAAAACAGGACUGGGGGUGCUUAGGCUGUAGCUUAGUGGUAAAGCGCUUACCUCGUAUGCGUAAGGCACUGAGUUUGAUCCUCAGCACCACAUAAAAGUAAAUGAAGAUACUGUGUGUUCAUCUACAACUAAAAAAUAUACAUAAAGAUAUUUUAAAAAAAGGACUGGAGGCCAGGGCUGUGGCUCAGUGGUAGAGCGCUUGCCUAACAUUUGAGGCACUGGGAUCGAUCCUUAGCAUCACAUAAAAAUAAAUAAAAUAAAGGCGUUCUGUCCAUCUAUAUCUAACUAAAUGUAUAAAUAGAUACAUUAAAAACAUCACUGGAAGUGUAGGUCAGUGGUAGAGUGCUCCCCAGCUCAGUCCCUAGUACCCUGAGAAAUAAAAUCCUGGAAGCUUCUGUUUACUAGAAGACAACAUAACCCAGGGUGUAGCUGAGUGGCAGAGCGCUUGCCUAGCAUGUGUGGGGCACUGGGUUCCAUCCCUAGCGCCUCCAAAAAAAAAAAAAAAGAUAAAGAGCCAGGGUGGAGAAUUUACUUGCUAUGUUUAUGGCAGAUAAUUAGUGUCAGGACAAUAGGUGGGACCAUCAAGGGUGAAGAAGGUAAAUGUGCUAGAUGGGGUGGGUGCCAUAGAGCAGGGCCUAGGAGAGGCCAAGUGGGUGGCAGUGUCCACCUUCACUAGCAGUAGAAGGGGCUGAGCAUGGUCCUGGGCUGGUGAGGACUGGCACUGUGGCGGGGAGUGGAAGGACCUCAGCCUGCAGGCACACUCUGGAGAGUCAUGCUCAGUGUGCAGGGGCCCAGCAGUGUCCCCUGGCAGCAGUUCAUAGGGCUGCACAGGGACCGAGACGCUGAUGGCUAUGGGAAGCCCAGGGUGCGUACACAAGUGUAGCAGUGGAGAGCCUUCAUAGAAGGACGAGUCACAGUAAGACACAGGAGGACAUUAGAGAAGGUCAGCAGUAGGAUGCUGGCCUGGCAUGCUUGAGCCUUUGGGUUCAGUCCCCACACCCCGCCCCUGCACAGGGAAGGGUCUGGCAUUGACUGUCACCUCACCAUGGCAUAGGGUGGGAGACAGGCGCAGGGAAGUUCUCUGUGCAGGUGGCUCCCUGGACAUGGGUGUUUUGCUCCAUGACUUCAUGUGCGUUCCUGCUGUUUGUUGGGCGUGUCUCCUACAUUGUGAAGACAGACGGAUGGAGUGCAGCGUGCAGCCCUGUGCCCAGCCUGUGGUUUUAGUUGGUUCUGCCCAUUCUGUACUUGUGGCGUGGCAUGGGUCAACCUGGUCAGUGGGCAAGCCUGGUAGGCCCAUAGCCGAUCAGGACCAUGCCCUUCUGCUGCUGCACCAGCAUGUGGAUGCCCAAGGGGUGUCCCCUGUGUCCUGCUGACACCCAGCUUUGGCUGGGAAGCAGGAUGCCUAAGUGCCAUUGGGGAGUAACUCGGUUGGUUAGGCGUGGUGGGUUCUGUUUAAGCUCGGGAACCUGGCCUUUACUGCCUUGCCCUUGGGUCCAUACCCUGGGUCUUUGCGUGUGGUGGCGGUGGUGGCAGUGAGGUCUCCUGCCUGGCCUUUGGCCUUUGGCCUCUGGCCUCAUGGCUCUUUGUGCGUGCACAGUCCCGGCUCUCCUUUGCCCCACAGGAGCCCCAGGUUCGGAGCCUUCCCUGCUCUCUGGGUCGUGGGCACUGAGCUGCCCAUCCCCACCCUGCCUCUGGCUUCUCUGGUCCUCGGCUUUGCUCAUCCAUUUGGCCAGAAUUCUGAGUGGGAGGGGGCAGCACAGAGGCCCCAUAGCUCAUGCGCAGGAGGGAAGUCAAAACCCCACAAGCAAGUGCAGGGGACAGGGCAGUGGCAAGGGAGGUCAGAGGGCCUGUGCAGUGGGAAGCAGGUCCCUCAGAGGCCCAAGGAGGGUGGUGCAGGUGGGGGACAUGAGGACACUUGUUGGGGACAGUGGGCUGUGUGGGUCAGCGAGGCCUGGGUCUGGUCUUUGGAAUGAUCCCCUCUGCCUGGGGGAGGAGCCGUUCUGGGGCCCAGCAGAGGGCAGGGAGGGUGGCCCAGGGAAGCUCGGCUGGUGUUGUGAGCCAUCAUGGAUGAGCUCUGUUGGCCGUCUAGAGCUGGGCAGGCGGAGCAUGGGCACAGGCAGCCUAGGAACCCAGCUUUGGCAAGUUCACCUUGGCUUCUGAGUGGAGAUGUCUGGGUGGUGAGCUUGGAGCUGAAGAGCAGGAUGAGACCCCUGGGGCAUGGUGGGACCACGCUGGGCGUGGUGGGGCUAGGGCCCAAGUCAGAGGGUGAGCUCUGGUGCUCUGACUUGCAGCUGGAAGAGGAGCUUCAGUUAGCAAGAGGAGGGCAGAGGGACCAAGGGGCAGGUCAGGAGGGCUGGGGGAGGGCAGGUCUUGGAGGACAAGGAAGCUGAGGAUUGGCUCUUGUGUCCAGCAUCCUGGAGUGAGGUGGGAUGGGUGCCGGCCUGGUGGGCUCAGGAGAGGAGGAGAGUGUGCACCUCAGCUCCUCAGGUCUGCAGGGGAGGCCCAGAGAAGUGGGUGCUGACUGCAGGGAGCUGGAUCUGUCUUAGCCCAGUUGGCAGGACACGCAUCAUGAGGGAAGAAGCCUUUUGCUGUCGGGAGGCUGGGAGCAAGGGGACACGGGGGCAAGAUGUCUGCAAGUUUCCUGCAGAAGGACUGGGGAGGCAGGGUGAGCAGCCUCAGCACCUGCCAUGCAGCAGUCUGUACAUUCUGGGGUGUGGGGCCGCCCCGCGGUGGCUGGGGCUCUUUCACGUAUGAAAGUUGUGCUUGCAGGCUUGUCCUGUACUGUCACCAAGGGGCAGCCCCCCCCCCCCCAGCAUCAGUGAGGCCCCAGACAUCCAAGCUCCAAACAGAAAACAAAAACAAAACCCAGAAAAUAAAAAGACACUCAAUGCCAUGGUGAUCGCAACCAGCAGGAUGUGGGCUUUGAAGGGAGAGCUGUGUGGCCAGGCCACUGCCUGGGCACCAGGCUGUCAUGGGCCAUGCCUUGAAAGGCCCUGAGGUCAGGCAGGAGGGCGUCACUGGACCUCGUUUUAUAGUACCCAAGAAAUGUGCGGAGUGAGCUGUGGCCCUCGGAGAGCAGGAAGGACGGGCCCCAGAGGGAAAGCCCUGCUGAUUCCAGGCCCCAGGUUGCCGGAGGGGAGUUGGACAGAGCCCCAGAAUCCUGCUGACCUCCCCCAGUGAACCCUCCUGCGAGUGUGGCUGCCCACGCAGGCUGAGCAGCCGGCACUGACUCCCAGACCCUUGACAGACUCAUGCUGCUGGAGGUCACAGCCUGUCUGGGGAAGUGUGGGCAGCCUCAGAAGAGCCGUCCGCUCCUGCUCACCCCAAGGACAGGAUCAGCAAGCGGCCAGCACGUAGCGCCCAGGGCUGAGAGCUCCUACUGGGCAGAGUGGACAGCCAGUGUCUGUUGUGCACCAAUGGCCUCCACAUGGCCAGGCCUCCCUUUUGUGGUCUGAGCUUUCCACUGAGCCAGUCCUGCAUCAGUGAUAUGAGCUGAGUCACACGGGGGCAAUGGAGACCGGUACGGGUGUGGCCCCAGAGACCCUGGGUUGUGAGCUGGGUGCAGGGACGGCGGCGUGGGUGUGCUGCCUGCCCCACUUCAGGGAGUGGGAAAUGCAGCAGUGGGUGUCCCCCAUCCCCUCCUGGGGUCUGCCUGUUACAGCAGCUGGCUUUUACCCUGACUGGGCUCCCUGACCUUUCUCACAGUGCUCUUAGUGUCUCUAUUAGAGAGUUUUUCACUGUGCCCUUUCUUUUCAAAAGAGAUAUCUAACAGUCCUGUUUGUUUGUUAGGACCAAACAGCCCUAAGUAUUUAUGUCCUGGCAACUUAGUAGCAGUUUAGAUAUGAGAAAGACACUUAAAUUGUAAAGAACCUUUGCCCUUGAUUUAAUUCUUAAGUAGCUGUAACUGUUUGCUGAGAGGUUGUGCAGGUCUGUUAGGCUCUGCACACCUUUUUAACCAUAUCAGGUUGAACACCUUCACCCGUGUGUCCUGCUUCACAUUGAUUUUUGCCUGGUAUCUGCUUUUAUCUCAGGGGGGUUGUAAACCCAGCUUGGCAGAGACAUCAUCAAAAGGGAAGCUCUGUGUGCUCUUGAAUGGGUUGAGAGGAGUCCGACAGGCUGCGCACCCCUCAGAACUUUACGAUGCCUACAGCCCCCUCGAGGAUUCUGUGCGGCACAGGGUUCAGAACGGCAGCUACAGCUGGUCCCGUCUUUAAGCCUUCCCCUUCUGUUUCUGUCUAGUGUUGUGUCCUACGGUGACCUAAGGUGCCACCGUCCACACUGAGGCCAGCUCUUCUCUCUUCCAGCCAGCCCACCUCACCCGUGUCCAGCAGGGUGCAUGCACCUAGCUGUUUCCCAGAGUUGCUGCCUGCUGUCUCCAGUUCUCUGCCUCCAUGGAGAGCCCUGCUGGCAGGCAGCAGGAGCAGUGCUCUGGGCUGCAGACCCAGGACCGGCCAGCAGAGCCAGGCCCAUUGUCCUCCACCAGGCGUGGAAGGCACUGCUGCUGCGCCCCCUCCAGGUUUUCUGUGUCGGCAGGAUCGCGUCAGCUUGGUUUCUCUGACUGGUGAAUCUGAACAUCUUUUCAGCACGUGCUUAGUUUUUUGGGUUUCCUCUUCUGUAAAUGCCUGGUUGUAUCUUUUGACUUUUUUUGGGGGGGUGGGGGGGGUGAGGGAGUGGAUUGCUCUCUUUUAAAACUCGAUUUUCAGGAACUCUCUGAAAACCUGCGGUAGGAAGGCCCAGGGUCUGCACAUUAUGACUCUUCUCGCCUCUGUUCUGCGGCUGGCCAUCUGCCUGUGGUCUCCCAGGAGCUCUUCCUUCUGCUGUGCUCCAGUCCCUCUCUUCUGCCUCCUGUGUUGUCCUCCUGUCACCUUCUUGCAGUUGUGGCCUGUGAAUUCUGUGUGGCGCUGGGGCUGGAACAUGGGGCCUGAGUGUGCUGGGUGAGCCCUUUGCCACUGAGCUGUCCCCACUCCCACCUGUCACCUUUCCUCUAACCUUUAGGUGUUCAGUCCAGCCAUGUCCCUCCCUCGGGCAGCUCCUGGGAGUCCAGCUUCUUUCCAUACACAGAGUAGCUGACACCUAUCCUUUCCUCAUUGGACCCUGUUGUCACCUCCACUUUUGGCCCAUUUGUGGGGGUCUUGCUGUCCCCGUGGGCCUUGCCUGCCCCGAUGCCACACAGCCUGUGCCACAUUGUUCCCUGUGAGGGCUAGAUGGGGCAGUGGAACAGGGACACGUGGGGAAGGUGCGUGUGUCACUGCUGGUGUGGCGAGGUGCUGCGAGGGGGGCCUCCCUGGUGUUCCCGCUGCUCGUAGCAACUGGCCGCAGGGACGGUGGCCCCUGUCCUACAGGACAGUACCUCCUUCCCCAGAGGGAGUGAUGCUUGCCGGGUGCUCUUGAUACAUAACAAUCCAAGUAGAAAGUUUCCUUCCUCUCUUGAUUUCCUGAGUUUUUUUUUUUUUUUUAAUAAUUGUGAAUAUUGAAAGCUUUGUCUUAUUUAGGAUGUUUCUAUCAAUGUUUAAACUGAAACAGGCCUAUGAUUUUUUUUCUCUGUUUUAUUAGUAUUUCUUUUUGGAUUUUGGAAUCAAGGUCACAUGGGCCCCACUGUAGCCUCUGCAAUCUGUUUUCUGGAAUAAUUUGCUAAGGUAGGAAUUAACUGAUCUUUGAUAUUCAGUAGAAUCAUCCAGACCUGGGAGCUGUUAUUUAUUUUUAUCAUUAUUAUCUAAUUUCCUUAAUGCAUGCUCAAGAGCAAACUCUACAUUCUAAAAUACAUUUUUUUUUUUUUUUGUAUUUUAUGUGAAGAAUCUAAACAGUGGUUCAUGUAUCUACUUUUGCUGGUGAUUCUGCUCAUCAAGCUCCAUGUACUUGGAGGCUAAUUGUUCGGUGUUCACUUUUGGGAUGGAUACACUUUGUUGUUUCUUGGAGCUUUCUUUAAUUCAUGUUUGCUUGGUAUAUGCUAAUUUGUUCUUUCUUUUUCAAUCUUAAUGUGUCUUUUUUUAAAAAAAAAUUAUGUGUUUCUUCUAUAGCAUCUUGCUGACUUUUAGAAAAUUCUAACACAAAAAUGUUGUCUUAGUGGGCUGGGGCUGUAGCUCAGUGGUAGAACACUUGCCUAGCAUGCAUGAGGCACUGGGUUCGAUCUUCAGCACCACAUACAAAUAAAUAAAAUAAAGGCAUUCUGUCCAUCUACAACUACAAAAAAUUCAAAAAAAACCUUUUUGUCUUAGUGAAUUUACACAAACUGUAAUUAUCGUUAUAUUAGGACUUCUCUCUGCUAUUGUAUUUUUUUUUUUUUAUAUUUAUUUUUUAGUUAUUGGCGGAUACAACAUCUUCGUUUUGUAUGUGGUGCUGAGGAUCGAACCCGGGCCGCACGCAUGCCAGGCGAGCGCGCUACCGCUUGAGCCACAUCCCCAGCCCUCUGCUAUUGUAUUUUUUAAAUAUUUAUUUUUUAGUUGUAGUUGGACACAAUACCUUUAUUUAUUUAUUUUUAUGUGGUGCUGAGAAUCGGACUCAGGGCCAUGCAUGUGCUAGGCAAGCGCUCCACCACUGAGCCACAACCCCAGCCCUGCUAUUGUAUUUUGUUCUUUCAUUUUUCUUUCUUUUUUUAUUUUCCACUUUCCAUUGGAAAGAUGGAAUUUACUUCUGUUGACGUAGACAUUGUUAUGUUUUAUUUUUAUUCUGUCAUUGCUCUGGAUUUCAAAGCCAUUUUCAUGGUUAUUUUUGAACUUAUUACUAUUUCCACCUUUUCCUAACAAAAUAAGUGCUGUAGCACAGUCUCUUACCCUCAGGUUUCUGUCUCUUUUGAAAUGUCUCUUGGGCUCUAAUCUACUUGUAAUCUAUGACUUCCCAUGAGCUCUCACACUACUCAGCCUUCAGUGGUCAUCUGUGGUCGCCCUGGGUUGGUCAGUGUGGAGUUCCUAUAACAGAUUCCCGAGAUCAUCGGCCUGUGAGGAGGAAAGGUUUAUUUUGGUUCUUGGUUUUGGUGGCUUCAGCUCAUGGCCGGUUGGCCCACGUGGACUGGCCCCCUCGCUCUGGGCCCAUGCGGAAGGGGACGUCUUGGCACAGCCUGUGGCACAGCUGGCCUCAUGUCUGGGAUGUGAAAGAGAGGAAGAGGAGGGGCUGGGUCCCAGUAUCCACUUCAGGUAGCCCCCAGUGACCAGAAGACCCCCCAGGGCCCGCCUCUGAAGGCUGCACUGCAACAGCACCCCUUGGAGGAGAAAGCCUUUAGCAUGUGGGUCGUGCAGGUCUGGACUGCAGCAUUGGGGCGCAGCCCCUCUAGCAGGCAUGGGAGGCACCUCUUCAGUGUCCAACUCCUGCUGGGUCAGACACUGCAGUUCCCGAGAGCGCUCUGGAGAAGGUGGGCAGGAGGAGGUGGGGGAGCUGGUGUCUACUUCAUCGCCAAUGGGAGCAGGUCUGCAGAGCGCCCUGACUGUGAGGAGGUGGAGGAGGGUACUCAGGAGCAUCUGAAGAAUGCCCUCGCCUCCCUCAGCCUGCAGGCACGUGCCCCCCACCCCCCAGCCACUGCUUGCUGCCUGCUGCCACCAAGUCGGUAAUAAAGUGUCUAAAACCUCUCUGCCGAGUCCUCCAUGCUCUCUCUUUGAGACAGGAAAGCAGUGUGCUGGGACCCUGCAGCCCUGCGGCUGAACACAGCCAGCCUGUCCAGCCUUUGCCCUUUUUAUUCUCUUGCGGGCAGUGCUGGGGUGGAACCCAGGGCCUCUUGCAGUAGGAAAGCAGCCACCACUGAGC
rnacentral:lncRNA from 1 species